rnacentral:misc_RNA from 1 species
UAGACGCAGGUCAUCAACCUGCAUCGAUUACGUCCCUGCCCUUUGUACACACCGCCCGUCGCUUCUACCGAUUGGUCGUCCCGGUGAACAAUCGGGAGGCCGUGCUCAUGGUCAGCAAUGGCCGGAGCGCGGUUGAACUUUUGUAAAUUUGGACGACUAGAGGAAGAAGAAGUCGUAACAAGGUUUCCGUAGGUGAACCUGCGGAAGGAUCAUUAGCGUUCAUUUGGUCUUGGUGCCAUGCGAAAAACAUGUGGAUUGUGGGCUAUGUGACCCCUCUGUGGGGGGUAUUUUGUCGCGAACACGGAACGGAUUGGCUAAUGGAAUCAUAAAGAUAAACAAAAUACAACUCUUAGCAAUGGAUAUCUUGGUUCCCGCAACGAUGAAGAACGCAGCGAAAUGCGAUACGUAAUGCGAAUUGCAGAAUUCAGUGAAUCAUCGAAUCUUUGAACGCAAGUUGCGCUUUCGAGAGCCCU